rnacentral:tRNA from 1 species
GCUCGGUUCGUCUAGUUGGUCUAGGACAUCGGCCUUUCACGUCGGCAACAUGGGUUCAAAUCCCAUACUGAGUACCA